rnacentral:ncRNA from 1 species
CAGGCAUGCUGGGGCUCCGCAGCGGCGCCCGGGUUGUUGCGCCCGCCAACCGUGUACACACCGGAGCUUGU